UACGUAGGGUGCGAGCGUUAAUCGGAAUUACUGGGCGUAAAGCGUGCGCAGGCGGUUUUGUAAGCCAGGUGUGAAAUCCCCCGGGCUCAACCUGGGAAUGGCAUUUGGGACUGCAAGGCUGGAGUGCGGCAGAGGAGACUGGAAUUCCUGGUGUAGCAGUGAAAUGCGUAGAUAUCGGGAGGAACACCUGUGGCGAAAGCGGCUCACUAGACCGCAACUGGACGCUGAGGCGCGAAAGCUAGGGGAGCAAACAGG
rnacentral:rRNA from 1 species